rnacentral:rRNA from 1 species
GACGAAUGCUGGCGGCGUGCCUAAUACAUGCAAGUUGAGCGAUGAAGAUUGGUGCUUGCGCCAAUUUGAAGAGCAGCGAACGGGUGAGUAACGCGUGGGGAAUCUGCCUUUGAGCGGGGGACAACAUUUGGAAACGAAUGCUAAUACCGCAUAACAACUUUAAACAUAAGUUUUAAGUUUGAAAGAUGCAAUUGCAUCACUCAAAGAUGAUCCCGGGUUGUAUUAGCUAGUUGGGGAGGUAAAGGCUCACCAAGGCGAUGAUACAUAGCCGACCUGAGAGGGUGAUCGGCCACAUUGGGACUGAGACACGGCCCAAACUCCUACGGGAGGCAGCAGUAGGGAAUCUUCGGCAAUGGACGAGAGUCUGACCGAGCAACGCCGCGUGAGUGAAGAAGGUUUUCGGAUCGUAAAACUCUGUUGGUAGAGAAGAACGUUGGUGAGAGUGGAAAGCUCAUCAAGUGACGGUAACUACCCAGAAAGGGACGGCUAACUACGUGCCAGCAGCCGCCGUAA